UACGGAGGGUGCAAGCGUUAUCCGGAUUCACUGGGUUUAAAGGGUGCGUAGGUGGGCUGGUAAGUCAGUGGUGAAAUCUCCAGGCUUAACUUGGAAACUGCCAUUGAUACUAUCAGUCUUGAAUACCGUGGAGGUCAGCGGAAUAUGUCAUGUAGCGGUGAAAUGCUUAGAUAUGAACAUAGAACACCAAUUGCGAAGGCAGCUGGCUACACGAAUAUUGACACUGAUGCACGAAGCGUUGGGGAUAAACAGG
rnacentral:rRNA from 1 species